rnacentral:rRNA from 1 species
GACAGAGGGUGCAAACGUUGUUCGGAAUUACUGGGCGUAAAGCGUGUGUAGGCGGCCGCGCAAGUCGGAUGUGAAAGCCCCGGGCUCAACCCGGGAAGUGCACCCGAUACUGCAUGGCUCGAGUACUGGAGAGGUUGGUGGAAUUCUCGGUGUAGAGGUGAAAUUCGUAGAUAUCGAGAGGAACACCGGUGGCGAAGGCGGCCAACUGGACAGAUACUGACGCUGAGACACGAAAGCGUGGGGAGCAAACAGGAUUAGAACCGGUACCGUCG